UAACACCCACAGGAUGAGAUGAUGAUGUUUAAAUGAAGAGCUAUAAAUACAGAAUGAGAGAAAGACUGACAGAUAAGUGUCACAUGUGUCUGCUUGGACUGAUCAUUCUCACAGGAAAACUUAUUCUGGAACAACAGUGUGGGCUGUGAGAUGAGAACAGAGACACUUUGAGCUUUAACCACUAACCAUCGACCAACUGCUGACUGAUGAGGAAACAUCAUUAGCUUGUGAGAGACGAAGACAAACUGAACCACAGUGAACUGAACUGAAGACAGCGACUGUAACACAUUUCAGUUUCAUUCAGCAACAUGAAAGGUGAAAAUCAGACCUUGGUGGAUGAACACAGUGAUCUUCCUACGGAUAAUUAUGACAACAGUGUCCCUAAUGAUUCAGAAAUCAGAAAUAUUAUCUUCCUCAUCGCUAGUGUUUGUGUGGGUCUUCCAGCUCUGGUUUGGGCUUUUCGUCUUCUGCACCUUCACAGAAAGAUCAGAGGCCGAAUCUCAGUCUUCAUCCUCCUCCUCCUCCUCAAUGACCUGAUACAAUUACCCCUUCAUCUAUAUAUACUGGCAACUAUACUGACAAGAUACAGAUACUUUAUCUUUGCGCUUAGUCACUUUUGGUUUGGAUUACAUUGGUGUGGUUUUUAUCUGCAUCAGCUGGUGGCUCUGGAGGGGAUUUUGACUCUGAAAUAUCCGCUUUGUUCUGCUCGUAUUUUCUCACUGCCCUGUUACAUCUUAAUCUCCAUCCUUGUGCUUUUUUUUCCUAUAGUGAGUGUGUUAUUUAUUUUCCUGCAUUCACAAAAUACAAACAUGUCAUUAUUCAGUCUCAGCACAAGUGUUGUUCCUCUGAUCGUAUUGGCUGUAUCAUCUACAAUCAGCUGUAAAGCCUCUUCCACUCCUGUCAGAAAAAACAGUUCAGUGCUCACUGUUGCUAUUCUUACAUUUGUUUUGAUGUACUUACCUUUCAUGUUGAUCAUCUGUGUGAUUUUAUUUCAUUUACAUUCAUAUGUCAGCUCAUCUUGGUUCAUAAUAUCUUACUGUUUGAUUAGUUUGAGAGUGUUUUCAGACUCUAUUCUGUGUGUUUUGGUCUGUAGAGAAAAUCUCAGAGAUGUUUGGACACCACAGACACACACAGAACCCAAUGCUGAUGAGACGUCAAUCUGAACUUGAGAUUCAUUAGUCUGCUCUGAAUUUGGCUUCAAAACAAAACAUAAAAUGACCUGUAAAAUGAAAAAGAAUUAAUAAAAUAAAUAGAAUAUGACUAAAGGUUAUUGAUUAAUUCGAAAGGUCUGUGAUUGCUAAAAGGGAAAGUGUGCUCUAUGCCACAAACAACACAAAUUGAUUUUUCAUGGAUCAUUUUGACAGCUUGUUUGAUAUUGCAAUAUAUACUGUAAAUAAUAUUUUACAAAUUAAAAUCUAAAUUUGUUAUGUUCGUUGUUUAUGAUUGAUUUACAGUAUUCAGCAAUUGAAAGUUUUGUAACGGGGCUUCCCAUACUAAAAAAGUGUAACAUUUAAGUC